rnacentral:rRNA from 1 species
AGAGGGUGUACGGCCACAUUGGGACUGAGAUACGGCCCAGACUCCUACGGGAGGCAGCAGUGGGGAAUAUUGCACAAUGGGCGCAAGCCUGAUGCAGCGACGCCGCGUGGGGGAUGAAGGCCUUCGGGUUGUAAACUCCUUUCGCUAGGGACGAAGCUUUGUGUGACGGUACCUAGAUAAGAAGCACCGGCUAACUACGUGCCGGCAGCCGCGGUAAUACGUAGGGUGCGAGCGUUGUCCGGAAUUACUGGGCGUAAAGAGCUCGUAGGUGGUUUGUCGCGUCGUCUGUGAAAUUCUGGGGCUUAACUCCGGGCGUGCAGGCGAUACGGGCGUAACUUGAGUGCUGUAGGGGUAACUGGAAUUCCUGGUGUAGCGGUGAAAUGCGCAGAUAUCAGGAGGAACACCGAUGGCGAAGGCAGGUUACUGGGCAGUUACUGACGCUGAGGAGCGAAAGCA